AACGCGAAAAACCUUACCAUCCCUUGACAUGUCGUGCCAUCCGGAGAGAUCCGGGGUUCCCUUCGGGGACGCGAACACAGGUGCUGCAUGGCUGUCGUCAGCUCGUGUCGUGAGAUGUUGGGUUAAGUCCCGCAACGAGCGCAACCCACGUCCUUAGUUGCCAUCAUUCAGUUGGGCACUUUAGGGAGACUGCCGGUGAUAAGCCGCGAGGAAGGUGUGGAUGACGUCAAGUCCUCAUGGCCCUUACGGGAUGGGCUACACACGUGCUACAAUGGCGGUGACAGUGGGACGCGAACCCGAGAGGUAGAGCAAAUCCCCAAAAACCGUUCCAGUUCAGAUUGCACUCUGCAACUCGAGUGCAUGAAGGCGGAAUCGCUAGUAA
rnacentral:rRNA from 1 species